rnacentral:lncRNA from 1 species
AAAAAUAAAAGAAAUAUUCAAUAAAAUAUUCUAGUUUCUUAUAAAACAAUAUUUUUAGAGUUAUACGUAAAUAAUUUUUUUUUGCAGCGUAAAAGCAAAAUAAAUUCAUACAUAUUGUAAUACAGUAAACCAAAGUAUUUAAUUUAAUUUACAAUAAUCAGUGGGCCCCCGAAUAACUAAAAGUAAGAAAGACUGUGAACCUACAGUUUGGAGGAUGCAAAUCCAACUGUAGUCCUCAACAAAAUGAGCUAUCUAACAACUAUCCUGAGCCUGAAAUGGGUGGAAAGGAGGGUGGUGAGAUUAUAUAAUCCCAGUGAGUAAACAAAUACCAUCUAAAAUAUCUAAAGCUGAGUAAAUGGAGACAGAUAAAAUAGUUUAACAUAUUGUAAUUCAUCACCUUUCAACUCAUUUCAACCAAAUAAAAUCAAUUCAUAUAAAUCGAGUAAUCAACAUGGCUUACAAAUUUCUUAAAACUUUGGCUCGUGCCAAAAUCAUUUUCAUACUCUGUUAUUAGGGAUACCUUGAUCGAGGGCUAUCCCAACCGAGUCCGCCAAGGCUGUUAAAAAGUUAUGUACUCAUAAAUCAUGUUUUUAUUUUGAAAACAUAGCUGAUCCUUGGUGUUAGCUGAGUUCACCCUCACGUGGUGGUUUGGCGUGAAGUGAACUCUAAAGUGUUAACCUCAGGAGUUAUCCAACUGUGCCUCAUACGGAGGUAUAAAUAUAAUAGGAUUACCGUGCCCCUCUAAUAGGCUGAUCCAUGGAACCCGUCCACUGUAGCGACUAAUUUAUAACCCAUCAAUUUAAUAAAAUUUACGAUAGCAUGACAUGGCAAUUAUUUUAUUUUACAGCCUCUCAAGGUAAAUUAACAGUUCAUACAUUUUUAACACAUUUACCAAAUCAACCAUUCAUGCCAAUAUUAUCAUAAGCCAUACAAUUCAAACCAUGAUUUAUAACACAUCAAUUAGUCUCCAAUUACUCCAUUUUCCAAAACCAUCAUUCAAUUUUAAGACAAUUUUAUAAAAUCAUUUCAUUUAAUCACAUUUUGCUUAUAAAACAUAAAGAUUUGCCAUUUAAACUCAUUUUUCAUAGAAUCACAAAAUCGGAUAAAAAUCACUUUAAAUAAUUAAGAUGAUAGUAAGGUUACUCACAAUAUCAGGAGUUUGAAAUAUUCUUAUUCUCAAUCCUCUGAUACAACGUCUUUACCCUUGUUAGAGGGCUCACCACCUAUAUACAAUACACGACACACAAUUCAAUAUACUGUGUCAUACCAUUAUAAAUCUAUUUCAACCUCUUUACUAAUGCAUGAAAUGGAAUGCAAAUUGUUCGGAUUAUCAUCUAAACACGAUGUUCUACACAAAUUCAAUUGUGUACCUAAAUAAAAUGGUAUUGGCCUAAUUCGAUCUAUCACUUGAUUAAUUGGCCAAUAUGUCCAAUUUAACUCCAAGUAAUUCCAUUUUUCUCCCAAUACUCCAAAUCAUCAAACACAAAUUAAAUAACUUGAAAUAUGGCAAAAAUCAUCCUCACAUUUUCUCUUAGGAAUUUCGGCCAUAGUGGGUGCAUCAAUACUAUGAUUUUUUCUACUUGAUUUUCUCACCGUAAUUCAUCAUUUCCUAACCAAUUCACUUGAAAUAAAAUCAAAAUCAACAUCCACUCUCUACAUGGAAAAUUCGACCAAUGAUGGGUGAUGGGAGAAAAUGAAUUUUUCUUGCUUGAUUUUCAUGCUACACAUCACUAACUAACUAAAAACACUAAAAUACAUUGAAAUCUAACCAAAUCAAGUAUCAAAAUCUCUCUCUAAGUGUUCGUCCAGCAAGGGAUUCAUCAUGCUUUCAUGUGAUUCAACCAUGGAAUAUAAGAAAAAAUGCUUAAGAAAGAUAGAUCUCAAGCUUAAUUGAAAAAAACCUUACCUUUUUUCACUUGUUUCUUUGAAUUUUCACACCUUUCCCUUGAAUUUUUCCACCUAGGGUUUGUUCUUCCUUUUUCUUCCUUUUUUCUUGCUUUGGCCGGCC